CUAAACGGACAACGAUUCAGGCCUUGCAGCAAAACAUCACGCAUGUCAUUCGACAGACCAGUCGAAAUGCUCGAACGAGUCAUCAGAAAUCAACGGAUGGACCAUCUGAGACGAAGCCGCGGCCAAAAUUUGAAAGAGAUAACUUUAAACAAGCUUUGGUACAGACAGUUCGGCACUAUGUAGGAUGGGUCGGUUGGCCGCAGAAGUUUAGAUACUGGUUAGUGUGUUUGGACUUGGUUGACGGACUCUAAUAUUAUUCUUACUUGGAUAAGCAAUACAACAAGGACAAUUUUUUUUUGCGUCCCAUCGUACCAUUUCCAUCGGGAAUGGUAAAUAAUGGCAUCUGGUGUUAUGAAUCCUAAUGGCUAAAAUUCGAUUCGGACCAUUGCCGAGAUACGAGAAAUACAAUCGAUACAGCACCGGAACUUAAGUCAAUCAAGACAACAGAAGAGCAUAUCUUGUACAGAUGCCCCAUCAAUAUCUAUUCUGACAAUGGAACUAAUUUUGUUGGAGCGUCUUAACUUAUAAUCAAAGAUCGAAAAAAGAGAGAAAAGGAAGAGAAAAUCCACGGAUGGACGCAACGCCAGAUCCUAACGGAACGGAACUAUAACGCCCACCAAAGAUUCAACACAAUCAACGCGCGAAUAUCUACCAAUAAUCAUAAAUUAUUGAUAUUAUAUAAUUGAUAUUGCAUAUAAAAUAUAUUAUCCAAAAUACUAACCAACAUAUACACAAACACCCACUCAUUUGCAAAACUAACACACACACACAUUGUAUAUUGAUUAUACCCCACAUAUACCCAAAUAAACUAAAUUGAAAUUAUAUUGCAUCUACCACGACUAAGUAACUCAGUUAUGCAUAAGAAUAUGAUGAGAAAUACUUAGAAAAUUACCGUGUUCAACCAUACACUUAUCAAUAAUAGAAAUAACUCAAAAUGUACAUUUCUUAUUUUCCACUUU